GCGCUCAUAGCUCAGUUGGAUAGAGCAUCGCUUUCCUAAAGCGGAGGUCGCAGGUUCGAAUCCUGCUGGGCGCG
rnacentral:tRNA from 1 species